GACGAACGCUGGCGGCGUGCCUAAUACAUGCAAGUCGAACGCAGUGGGGACGGGUGAGUAACACGUGGGUAACCUCCCAUCAGAGGGGAUAACACUUGGAAACAGGUGCUAAACCGAUACUGAUGGAUGGACCCGCGGUGCAUUAGCUAGUUGGGGAGGUAACGGCUCACCAUGGCGCCGAUGCAUAGGAGAGCUGAGAGGGUGAUCGGCCAAACUGGGGAGAAGCCACGGCCAAGACUGCGACGGGAGGCAGCAGUAGGGAAUCUUCGGCAAUGGACGAAAGUCUGACCGAGCAACGCCGCCUGAGUGAAGAAGGUUUUCGGAGCGGAAAACUCUGUUGUUAGAGAAGCGGUAUCUAACCAGAAAGCCACGGCUAACUACGUGCCAGCAGCCGCGGUAAUUC
rnacentral:rRNA from 1 species